CACGUAGGGCGCAAGCGUUGUCCGGAAUUAUUGGGCGUAAAGAGCUCGUAGGCGGCCUGUUGCGUCCGCUGUGAAAGCCCGGGGCUUAACCCCGGGUCGCAGUGGAUACGGGCAGGCUAGAGGUAGGUAGGGGAGAAUGGAAUUCCCGGUGUAGCGGUGAAAUGCGCAGAUAUCGGGAGGAACACCGGUGGCGAAGGCGGUUCUCUGGGCCUUACCUGACGCUGAGGAGCGAAAGCGUGGGGAGCAAACAGGG
rnacentral:rRNA from 1 species